rnacentral:pre_miRNA from 1 species
AGUGGAAUUGCUGGGUCAUAUGGUAACUCUAACUUUUUGACAAACUUCUAAACUGCUUUCCAAAGUGGUUGCACUAUUUUACAUUCCCAAGGGCAAU